rnacentral:rRNA from 1 species
CGGAAGGAUCAUUGUCGAAACCUGCC